rnacentral:rRNA from 1 species
GACGAACGCUGGCGGCGGGCUUAACACAUGCAAGUCGAACGGAAAGGCCCUGCUUUUGUGGGGUGCUCGAGUGGCGAACGGGUGAGUAACACGGGAGUAACCUGCCCUUUACUGUGGGAUAACUUCAGGAAACUGGGGCUAAUACCGGAUAGGAGCGCCUGCUGCAUGGUGGGGGUUGGAAAGUUUCGGCGGUUGGGGAUGGACUGGCGGCUUAUCAGCUUGUUGGUGGGGUAGUGGCUUACCAAGGCUUUGGCGGGUAGCCCGCAUGAGAGGGUGGACGGCGACCUUGGGACUGCGAUACGGACCAGACUGGAACGUGAGGCAGCAGUGGGGAAUAUUGUACAAUGGGGGGAAGCGUGAGGAAGCAGCGCCGGGAGCGGGAAGAAGGCCUUCGGGGUGUAAACCGCUUUAGGCUGUGACGAAGCGUGAGUGACGGUAAUGGGUAAAGAAGCACCGGCUAACUACGUG